rnacentral:rRNA from 1 species
CCGCACGGGUGAGUAACACGUAUCCAACCUGCCGUCUACUCUUGGACAGCCUUCUGAAAGGAAGAUUAAUACAAGAUGGCAUCAUGAGUCCGCAUGUUCACAUGAAUUAAAGGUAUUCCGGUAGACGAUGGGGAUGCGUUCCAUUAGAUAGUAGGCGGGGUAACGGCCCACCUAGUCUUCGAUGGAUAGGGGUUCCGAGAGGAAGGUCCCCCACAUUGGAACUGAGACACGGUCCAA